GGAUUCUUCACUCAUAAAACUUGCCAGAGGAUAAUGACCUCGGAGGUCCCUGAAUCACAAUAGCAGGCUUCUGUUCAGUGAAGCACAAUCUUCAGAAUGCUCCAAAGCUUCAGGAUUUAGGACAAGUCUUUCCACACAGAGAGAGGAAUUCACAAAACCUAAACUGGAAAAUCAGUCUCAUUACAAGAGAAACCAGGAAGAACGAUGGGAAAGAAGAGGCCUUCUCCUUCCCAGGCCUGGAGAAAAUUCUGCCUUGACACCCCACGCUCUUUUUUUGCGGCAACUGCCUCCUUCUCUGUCCUGCCGAAGGCCACAGCAGCACGUUUGCAGCGGAAAUAAACUUGCGCACCUCAUAAAAAGAACCAGUAAUGAUGCUCCCAUUUCAUGGGAUAUUACACCAUAAUGAUGAUAAUCCGCCCAUUUACAUCUGAUCUUCCAUAGACUUAGUGAAAUUAGCUUCCGUGCCACCUAGCAGGGGUAAUUUAUGAGAUAAAAAGGAACCAUUGAGAGAUAAUGUAAUGAGUAUUUACUGUAUCCUUGAUGGUGCUCUCAUCGCUGGGGAGACGGGAAGUUGGCUGGUGAGUUUAGCCUCCCACAUUUUCAGAGCCUCGUGCUAAAACCUCGGGUUAGCCGAUCCAGACCAAGACAUCACCCCAAACGCUCCU